ACGGGAGGCAGCAGUGGGGAAUAUUGCACAAUGGGGGAAACCCUGAUGCAGCGACGCCGCGUGAGUGAAGAAGUAUUUCGGUAUGUAAAGCUCUAUCAGCAGGGAAGAAGAUGACGGUACCUGACUAAGAAGCCCCGGCUAACUACGUGCCAGCAGCCGCGGUAAUACGUAGGGGGCGAGCGUUAUCCGGAAUUACUGGGUGUAAAGGGUGCGUAGACGGGACACUAAGUCUGAUGUGAAAUACCAAGGCUCAACUUUGGAACUGCAUCGGAAACUGGCGACCUAGAGUGCGGGAGAGGAAAGCGGAAUUCUCAGUGUAGCGGUGAAAUGCGUAGAUAUUGAGAGGAACACCGGUGGCGAAGGCGGCUUUCUGGACCGUAACUGACGUUGAGGCACGAAAGCGUGGGUAGCAAACAGGAUUAGAUACCCUGGUA
rnacentral:rRNA from 1 species